CGUGCAUAUCGUCGAAGUUCUGCAUCCUGUAAAAGUUAGGAAAGGGAUCCUGAAAAUACAAACCAUUCAAAUAUUUAGUCUCGGUGAAAAUAAAAAUAAAAUUAAAUAAAUGCGAAAAAGUAAAAAAAAAAUGAAAAACCAUGGGUUGCCUCCCACGCAGCGUUUGUUUAACGUCAUUAGCUUGGCGAUCAGAAUUUAUACACCUGUAGUAGUAGGAAUCGGUGGAUCAACCAGAGUGUGGC
rnacentral:lncRNA from 1 species